rnacentral:rRNA from 1 species
UACGGAGGGGGCUAGCGUUAAUCGGAAUUACUGGGCGUAAAGCGUGCGCAGGCGGUUUUGUAAGCCAGAUGUGAAAUCCCCGGGCUUAACUUGGGAAUGGCAUUUGGGACUGCAAGGCUAGAGUACGGCAGAGGAGACUAGAAUUCCUGGUGUAGCAGUGAAAUGCGUAGAUAUCAGGAGGAAUACCGAUGGCGAAGGCAGGUCUCUGGGCUGAUACUGACGCUCAUGCACGAAAGCGUGGGGAGCAAACAGG